CUAAGAAAGGUAAUCAACAAGUUUGGAAUCCAAUUCCAAGCUGAUGGUGAUCAAUUGCAGCAACAGGAUGGGAAGAAUCGAGGAAAAGAUUUGAAGAAGAAAAUGAAAAAAUCAGGAUCAAUGAAGCGUCAAGAUUUUGAAAAUUUUCGUUUGCUCAAUAUGGGAAGGCAAGAACGGAAGCCCGAAAAACCUCUGCGGCCUAUAGCAACGCCGCAGAAGCAUCCAGGCGCCGUCGCAGUAGAGAUAUCUGUUGGAAAAAUUGGCCGAAUUUGGCACGAGUUUUGAGUGGGACCCGAUUGUUCAAUUUGGAAGAUGAAAGUUGAUUUGUGUUCUCCUCCGUGAGUACAUCAAAAUCAUAUACUUACUUGCCAAAGUUGAUGCUCGGGUGAAUGAGAAAUUGAGGCUCAAAGUGUGCCACUCAAAAGGGAGUUUAUGUAGGAAAAAAUGAAUUUGUCCCACAUAGGAAAAAGAUGAGGAACUCCAAAGGUCAUUGCCAUUAAUGGUAGCCUAGCCUAUAAAUAGUGGUUCAUUUUCCUCAUUUCAACACACAACAAAAAAGCUAAAGCUUUCAAGUUGAGAAUACACUAGAAAUUCAUUUGCAUAGAGAUCUCUCUUGGUGGUGGUGUAGUUCAGGCACUAGUUCAGUUCGCCGGAGUAGUUUCUGCGGUGCUCAGAAGCUACUGGUUUUACCGUUGUAUCCUGAAAAAUGGACGUUCAUUUUAAACCUCAAGCACGGACGGUGAGGGGGUGAAUCUAUUUUAAGGAAACUGUGUGUAACACAAGCCUUGGUUUUUAGAGUUCAUGCUUCAUG
rnacentral:lncRNA from 1 species